AGUGAACGCUGGCGGCGUGCCUAACACAUGCAAGUCGAACGAUGAUGGAUGAGCUUGCUCAUCCUGAUUAGUGGCGCACGGGUGAGUAUACCAUAGAUAAUGUACCCCUUAGUUCGGGAUAGCCACUGGAAACGGUGAUUAAUACCGGAUACUCCUUCUUGCCAUAAGGUAAGUCGGGAAAGUUUUUUCGCUAAGGGAUCAGUCUAUGUCCUAUCAGGUAGUUGGUGAGGUAACGGCUCACCAAGCCUAUGACGGGUAUCUGGUUUGAGAGGAUGAUCAGACACACUGGAACUGAGACACGGUCCAGACUCCUACGGGAGGCAGCAGUGAGGAAUAUUGCACAAUGGAGGAAACUCUGAUGCAGCAACGCCGCGUGGAGGAUGACGCAUCUCGGUGUGUAAACUCCUUUUAAGAGGGAAGAUUAUGACGGUACCUCUUGAAUAAGCACCGGCUAACUCCGUGCCAGCCGCCGCGGUAAGAC
rnacentral:rRNA from 1 species